GGGCACCUACGGGGCGCAGCAGUGAGGAAUAUUGGUCAAUGGGCGGGAGCCUGAACCAGCCAAGCCGCGUGAGGGAAGAAGGUACAGCGUAUCGUAAACCUCUUUUGUCAGGGAACAAAGGCGGGGACUAGUCCCCGGAUGAGGGUACCUGAAGAAAAAGCAUCGGCUAACUCCGUGCCAGCAGCCGCGGUAAUACGUAUGGUGCAAGCGUUAUCCGGAUUUACUGGGUGUAAAGGGAGCGCAGGCGGCACGGCAAGCCUGAUGUGAAAGCCCGCGGCCCAACCGCGGGACUGCAUUGGGAACUA
rnacentral:rRNA from 1 species